GAUGAACGCUGGCGGCGUGCCUAAUACAUGCAAGUCGAGCGAACAGAUGAGGAGCUUGCUCCUCUGACGUUAGCGGCGGACGGGUGAGUAACACGUGGAUAACCUACCUAUAAGACUGGGAUAACUACGGGAAACCGGAGCUAAUACCGGAUAAUAUAUUGAACCGCAUGGUUCAAUAGUGAAAGACGGUUUUGCUGUCACUUAUAGAUGGAUCCGCGCCGCAUUAGCUAGUUGGUAAGGUAACGGCUUACCAAGGCAACGAUGCGUAGCCGACCUGAGAGGGUGAUCGGCCACACUGGAACUGAGACACGGUCCAGACUCCUACGGGAGGCAGCAGUAGGGAAUCUUCCGCAAUCGGCGAAAGCCUGACGGAGCAACGCCGCGUGAGUGAUGAAGGUCUUCGGAUCGUAAAACUCUGUUAUUAGGGAAGAACAAAUGUGUAAGUAACUAUGCACGUCUUGACGGUACCUAAUCAGAAAGCCACGGCUAACUACGUG
rnacentral:rRNA from 1 species